AGAAAAGAACAACUACUGAAUUGCUUCUUAUUGAGGCAGACAUGCUGAGGCUGAGAAUGCGUGUUUUAUACUUGCAACUUUUGACAACCUCGUAAAAAUAGCUCUUACCGAAGCAAUCUACUGCCAGAUGGUGCAAGAAUGGAGGGAGGCUGAAGGAGAGGCAGAGGGACUUUCCACCUGCUGCUACCCAGGCAGGAGUCACAGUGGCUGGCACAGCCAGGGAUGAAGAGGAGGCUGGAAGGGAGAAAGUGGGCCAGAAACACUGCUUCCUAUUUGGUCACCAACACAACCUUAUUGUGAGGUUUCUGACCUAUUUCAUUUUUCCGUUACCAAGUUUACAGUAUAAAACAUGUGGUUCUAGUGGGGAAAAUCUGCAGGAAAAGCCAGCGAGGUCAGAACCACUUUUCAAUGAAAAUCAAGGCAGCAAUUUGAGUUGCUUCAGAGAUCCCAGACACGACCCAGCCCUUCUCCCCUACAUCCCCACUGAAGAUGCUCUUUGGGAUUCAAGGUGAUUACCAAGCCACACAGCACACUUGUCACCUGAGACUUGAGAAAUACUUAAUUCCAUCACUUCUCUAGUUGCUAUUUUGAACAGGAUUCAAGCUCUUGACCAAGGGUUAUAUAUUCUACAGCUUUUCAAACUGAAGAUUUUACAGAUAUAUCUAACAAUAAGAGCUUCAUAAAUAAAAACAUCAGGUCUGUAGCAAAACAGCAUAAGAACACACUUUCUAUUAAUAUAUGUGCAUUUUUCAGUAAGACAAUACCUGUUUAACCAUUCUUAUCUUGAAGUGUUCAUAUAAUGUCAAGUCUCUAUUUUCAUGCUUUAUUUUCAUAAUGACCUAAUUUCAUUAACUCUAUAUUGGAGUCAGAAAAAAAUCUCUCAAUGAGCAUCAGGUCUUUUCAAAACACAGUAAGGCUGAAAGCUCAGGACGGGAUUUGUGUAUCCCAUUACCUUUCUUAUUUGUAAACAAAGCUUCAGUGUCUUGUGUGCUAAUCACAUUUCCAAACAGCAUGUGGCUCAUUAAAGUCCUAACAUCUGAACUUGUACAUUAAAGGUAGCAAAUAA